GGACGAUACUGUACAUAAAGACCAGCAUGGGUAAACAAAUAACACUGUGAAAAAUACUGACAAAUAACACAACAGCAAUGUUACUGAUGAUUGAAUUUCACUUCAGACGACGGUUACCCGAAAGUUGUCCAAAACUGUGGUCACAAACACCGUUUAUCAGUCGAACAAUAGCUCCUAUAGUUCUUGGAGCAUUACGCUCUACCAGAAAUCAUGACGUAGGUCGAUCCCAACGUAAGAAGUGAUUUGAACUCUGGGUCUGGGAGCUGCAGUAAAACUUACUACUGAACACAAAGAAAUACCUGUCAAUGUUUUUAUUGUCAUAUAUGUACAAAUGAACAUGUAGACUGCAAAUAUGAGAGAGUCAAGAAGGGAAUCAAAAA